CUAUGCUUUAAUUAUGUUCAAUUUCUAACAAUGAAAGUAAAUCCUGCAUAUUAGAUAUUUAUACUACGAUUUAUAACAAUAGAAAAAUUAGAGUUAUGAAAUAGCAAUGAAAAUAAUUUUAUGGUUAGGGGUCACCACAACAUGAGGAACAGUAUUAAAAGGUCGCGUCAUUAGGAAGGUUGAGAACCACUGUUCUAAUAGAAUCUGAUCCCGUCAAUUUUUGUGGUAAAAUUAUUUUCCUAUGAUCAGUAUUUUUGGAGAUAUUUAGGAAUAAAAGAACCAUUCAGAAAGACAUAAUUUAUUGCCC
rnacentral:lncRNA from 1 species